UGCAGAAGUUUGGGACUUUGGAACAGGAGGAUGAGAGAAGCAACUAGGCCGUGGCUGCUCCCCGGUGGCUGGGACCUCCUCCGAAGGAACCAGGUAGGACAAUACAGAUCUCUGGUUCCAGGUGGCUGGGACCUCCUCCAAAGGAAUGAGGGAGAGCAAUACAGAUCUCUGGUUCGCAACCCUAUACCUGAUGUGACAAGUCAGGAGAAGCAGAGUCUCGGGAAGAGAAGACUGAAGAGCCAGAAGUGAAGCUUUCGGUCUGGAGGGCUUACUCAACCUCAGCUCCCUCUCCCCUGAGGUCUCCGCGUUCUUCCAGACCCUGGGGCUUUUGAGAAAACCGCUCCAGGCCGACCCGGCUCAGAGCUGGCCUCUGAGUGACAAUUCAGUUACAAUCCCUGAGAAUCUAGUCCUGAAUUUAAUUUGUAACGUCCUCUCUGGAGAUGCAAAGUCCCUUGAAAAGUUCCUUUGGAAGCUCUAGAAUUGGCUCUGAAAGGAUCCCUCCUUCCCAACUAGAUCUCAGCGCGAGAGCGCAGUGAAGGCCUUGGACGCCGUAAGAGCCUGAAGCCGGGUAGAGACAGGGCGGCGGCUGCUCACACCAGAGUUCCCGGCCCAGUGGACGCGGCCAGGGCUCCGGAGGGCUGAGACCCCGCCCCUCAUCCCUGACCCCAAGGGAGGGAGACCCUCACCACUGGGUGGUGGCGGCAACAUCGUCCGCGCAGGGUCUGCACCUGGGACAGUGGGGUGCCUGGAGCCUGGGGCAGAUGCUUUGCCUUAGCACCUCCAUUUCUCCAUCUGACAAUGAUAAAAGCGCUCAGUCCAGGGCCUGUUCAUGAAAUUUGGUGAGGUGUUAUAUGCAAAACCCUGAUAGCAUUGUCAUGUAAUUAACCUUAGAGAAAUGUGAGUGAUAAGAUCAAAAUGAUAAUUGACAAUAAAUACCCCUUGAUGUGUUCCAGCAGUAGCAUGAGAGAUUGGGCUUUUUUGCUCAAAAUAUAGAAAUUGUAUUUCUUUUUCUCCCCAAAAAGCAUUAAAAUGUAAAACGCUGAAGGGA